AAUAUAGGACACCCAGUUAAAUUUGAAUUUCAGAUAAAUCAUGGAAUUUUAAAGCUCAUUUGGGACAUAGUUUCCCAUGUUUCCUGAUUGUUUACCCAAAAUUUGAAUUUAAUUUGGUGUCCUGUAUGUUAUCUUACAAUCGUACUUGUUGAUUUGUUCAAAUUUUCUAGGAAACAUAAUUCUAAAACUAAGAAAGGGGCCACAAUAGGAACCCAUUCUGACAUGAUGAAUUAUUACAUAUAGCGAGAUAUACUGAAGGCUAGAGAAUAUCCAUCAAAAGUAGCAUAUUCACAGAGUAAAACACAAUUUGGGAUGACUUAAUCCCUAUCCCAUGGUCAUAAAAGUGUUCAUCGAUUGAGUAUCUGUGACACUCAAGUAUCUUUGAAGUCGGGUUGGCAGCUCCUAUGCCCAAGAGAGAAAUGCAGCGAUGGAUGUGAUGCAGUUAUUUAGGUACAAAGAGAAGAGGCCUAAAACAGAAACGUAAAGACCCCUGCAUGUAAGGGGUGGCAGAAGAAGACUACUUCAGAAAGAGACUGUGAAAGGGCAUCAAGGGGAGGAAGACAGGAAGAAGCAUUCUCCACUGAACACUCCCCACUGAAAUAAGCCACAGUGCUUGAGAAGAUGGCUACUUCUAAGACAAAGGAGGAGAAAGAAAGCACACACGCAAGCAGGGGGAGAGGCAAGAGAGAGAGGAGGAUGAGAAUUCCAAGUAGACUUCGUGCACUGUCAGCACAGAACCCGCAAACUGGGGCUCGAACCAGCAAACUGUGGGGUCACGACCCGAGCUGAAAUCAAGAGUUGGAUGCUUAACCAAGUGAGCUGGUUAUUUUGCUGUUUACCUUGUCUCCAAAGUGAAAGUCUUAAGGAACAAUUUCAAGACACACAGUUUUUAAAAGGAUGGGAAGGAGGCUCAGACCAGUGUGCUGUCAGAGGAGUCUGGGGAAGAAGAAAUCGUCCGUAGUGUCAUAUGCUACAGAGGGUGCCAGGACAGGAAUCAUGCGUUCCAAAGAGAAGAAAAGUAUCCCAUUUAAUUUAUUUUUUGGCCACAUACCUAAUUGAGGAGGCAAGCCCUUAGGUGGGAGUCACAGUGAGCUGCCCUGAGUUUUUCCCAAGCCUAACAAAAGAAAGAAGGACCGGCCACCGCUUGUGCCUGCCAACCGUGCAUUGUUCAAGGAAUCAAAAUAAAGAGGCAACGGGGUCAAGGAGCCAACGGUGUUCAGCUUUCCUAACCGCUGAAGUGUAAAUCACAACUGGGAGACUAUUGAGGCGAUUUGGGCCAAACUGCAGAGAAACAAGAGAAAAAGGUAAUCGUAUCUUAACCCAGUCAAUCCGAAAUUUCCUGGUCAGCAAUAGUAAGGAAACCUGCCUGACAGAUCCCUCCUGUCCCGCCCCCCAGAAGAUGAGAGAUGCUCACAGAAGUAUGUGUGCUACAGGAUCAAAGCAUGCCGGAAUGCCAAGUAAAUACGUGGCAUACAGGUGCUGUGGAAAGUGACCAAGGAGAGAUUUGCCUGCUCGAAACUUUAAUUUUGUUGCGUGAAACCAUUGGUAUUAACGUGCUGCUCGUUAACACAGCACAACCUAGGCUAUCCUAACCAAUAUGUGUAUGUGUGUUUGUGUAUCUAUCUAUCUGUCUAUCUAUGUAUCGAUCUAUAAUUAGAAAGAAAGAUAAUUUUCAUAAUUACAACAAUUCAAAGUGGAAGAUACCAAAAAUCCAUUUGUGAAAUAUCCUACGUCAUUUUUGUGAUUCCCAUGGGCCUCAGUGCAAUAUUCUCCAUAUAGUUCUGUAGUAAAUGUCUGAAAGUCUUCUCUAAACACUCACAUUCUACUUUUGUUAGGACAAUCACAUCAAUGCCUAUUGCCGUAUCCCCUUCCAAAAGUGAAACCUUCGAAAUCACCUUAUUUUUAUAACAAUGUAGAAUAAAUCUUGAUUGCUGGUGAAGAAUUUCAAAGGAGAAGGACCAGCAGGUAACAACUUUAUCAGAGCUUUAGAGAGCAUAGUUUAUUUGAGAGAAUGUCUAGUUGAUUUGGGUGGCUAGAUCACAGGUUACAAGAAGGCUGGGAGUAGAGAGGAGGAGGAUUAUGGCAGAAAAUACGUGUGGCUAAUUCUUUCCUGUGUUGCCUUAAGUCUAUAUAUCACAAGAUAUUACAUUCCAUUAAGUUCUACAACAUUUCCAUUAAAAAUACAAUCUGAAUCCUAAGAGGAAAAUAGUGACUACCAGAAACAUAAGAUUCUCGGAAGGCUCAGCAAACUGUAUGCUAAAUUGCAGACAGACAUGUUAGUUUCCUUUGAAUCAGUAAUUUAAAUCUUUCCCCUUAUUUUUCCAUCUAAUUUUCAGUAGGUCACUCUCAAGUCAAAAUUUAAUUUUAUGUGGUUGAAGUGGUAAAGCCAAAAUGAAAUUGCAUGCUGUAGGGGGAAAACUUUAACCUACUUUUAAUAGCCCCUUUGAAAGAUACUUUGAAGACAUGACUUACUCUCAUAGUAUGUUGACUAUCUGAAGAAUGAAUUAUUAUAUCCUUGUCAAAUUUUAAAUAGCAUGCUGUUAAAAAUAUUAGUCACACAGGGGGCUGUUUGACAGUAAUGUCACAGAAAAGCUCUGGUCUAUAUGAACAGGCAGAGUCUGCAACUUAAUAUCAUGGUUCCAUGGAGCUCUGUCUUCCACGGGCAUCCAUGGAGGGGUGGGGGUGGGAACCCGCUUCAGGUUUCCUUGGAACAUUGGCAGGAUUCUGCCAACUGAUGCAUUUUGCUUGCUGUUCCAGCCAGCUGAGAGGGCCUAUGUCUUUCUCCCUUCCGUCCAUUCCUGGCAGAGCUUAGACAAGAGC